rnacentral:lncRNA from 1 species
GUCUGUGGCAGCUGAGUAGGCUGUUGGGAAACUGGGAACCUGAAUCACAGAGACUCACAGAGCACCAGCUUUGGCGUCACUCUGGUGGGAAAGGAACAGUCCCAACAGUGGAGGAGGGGGAGGGUUUGUAGUAGUUUUGUGAUGCGCCAGCAAACACAGAGUCCGGGGAAAGGGAGGGAGGCAAGCGAAGGAAAACCAGACACCUUCCACUGAUGAAGACAGAGCAGCAGCCAAGGCAGAAAAUGCACGUAUGAACCUCAUCAUUUUAGGGUUGCAGCACAUUUUUGGCUCUCUCGGGGUGCGUUCCGACACGGCAUUUAAUCAGUUCACACGCUGUCUUCAGUUCCCACUGGCCCGACAUGAAUUUGUCCUUCCAUACUUUUUCUGGACUAGAUUGCCAAAAUCCGGACUACUUUGCAUUCAGAUUAAAGGAGUUCUCAAGCCAUUCCAGGCCGUUAGCCGAUUUUACUUCACGGUGUGGGAACGCGAAGGAGACUUAUUUGGGAGUUUAGGCAUGGGAGGGCCUGUCUCUGGGGAAACCUCUGCCCUCACGGUGUUCCAAGGAGGGGCAAUUCUUGCUCCCUGGAGGCCGGCCGGUGGCAGUGAGAGGAAAAUCUUUGCACCACGUGAACUGACGUGAAGGAAACCAUCGCAGAGUUGUGUCUUUCUCCAGGGAGGCUGACUUGGACUCCAGCAACUGCUCACAGCUCCUGAAGAGUCCUCAGAGUCCCAGCCAAGUUUUUGACUUGUUCAGUUAUCCAGGAUUUCACUUCCUGGCUGACUGGGUUCUUCAAAUGUCAUUAGUUUUUAACAAAUUUGUAGUGAAUGGUAAAGAAUUUCAGAGGAUUCUAGCAUUUUUGUUUAGGUGUGUAGUCGCUGUAGGUGGGGAUUUGUUUUUUAAAUGGAAAAUAGGAUACAACUAAGCAAACAAAGCUUGGAAACAUGCAAGUAGACCUUUAAUUAUGCCAAAUUAAAGACUCAAGGUGUGGCCUUGAACCAUUGUAUUCCCUUUCAUUAUUGUUUUAUGUCUACUACGGAUAGUUGUACAAAUGGUGUUGUUCUGUAC